CUGUGUUUCUGUCACCUGCUUUGGGGGCCGGACUGUCCCUCCUCCUCUGGGUUGGUGGGGCAGAGGGGAGGCUGGGAGUUCCCUGUGGUCCGCAAAGUGGCUAGGCUUCCACUUGGGAGGCUCAGCUUGGGGCAUGGCUAUACCUGAGUGUCCCCAUCCUUGCUUCUGGUGAGGACCUCUCCCAGGGAGCAACUGUGUGCCCUGUCCCGGAGGGCCAGGGGAAGAGGGAGCCCAGCCCUCUCCAAAGGCAGUGGGGGUCGGGGACAGGACCCAGAGCUGUUGCCCCCUAUGAGUAAGGGCCUGGCAGCUCUUUGAAGAGGCACUGAGCAAAGCACCCGGGGAGUGGGGAAGGAGGGCAGGGCAGUGGAGGGACAGUGAAGGCUCAGCUGGGAAAGCCAUGAGAACCUCCAGAGGCCAAGCAGCAACCCCAGAGCUGCCCAGAGGGGCUGAGGCCCAGACACCUCACAAGCUGACCCCUGCACUCCUCCCUGUGGCCCCGGCCUCCUGUGCCCAAGGGGCCUCUGCUUCCAGGGGGACCCACAGAGGGGCCGAGGGCAGACGGAAUGUCGGAGGCCCUGAGCAGGUAAUCUGAACUGUCGAGCUGAUUGGAUCAUGAGGCUUCUGGGUGUGAGUGAGGGUGUGUCGAGGAAUGCCUGGCGUGGGGGACAGCAACAGAAGAGGAGACCCUUCUAAGCGUGGGCAGCACCUGCCAGUAGGCCAGAGGCUUGGAUGGAAUGAAAGUUGAAGAGCAGGGAGCCGCAGCAGAGGCGGCUCGGUUCUCCUUGACAGGUUCUUGACUGCGGCUGCCACCGCCUGAGGAUACUGGACUCUGACUUCUUCACUCUCCUGAAGUCACUCUGCAGUGAUUCUCCAGGGAGUUCCCAGAGGCCUUGGGUCUCAGAGGAGGGUCACACUGUUGGUCCCUCUUGUUCUGAGGCUUCAGCCUCUUGGGCUGAGCAGCUGCUGUUCGUCCAGCUCCGCAGCCCCCAGAUGAUAACCUGGGCGCUGUCCAGCCUCUGGUCACCAAGCCAACCCAGGAAAUCCCCUUUGAUCAUUGUGCUUCCUGUUGAUGGGUUCCUGUAGAGAACGCUGACCCAUACAGUCCCCUCAGUCCUCAUUCUGCUGGAUCCCAGAGCUCUGGGGGAGGACAGGCACCCCUCUGAGGCCCAGAGGCCCUGCCUCCGUCCUCUGCCCAUCUGCCCUCUGUGGGGCUCCCUGGCCUCCUGUCUGCUGCGCCCCCACCUUUGCUGGCUCCUCUGGCUCCUGCCCAUGCCCACUCCACAGCAGGGCCUGCCUGUCCUUCCCACACUGUGACCCUUGUCCCUUACCUGCAGGUGGCUGGCAUCCCGUAAUCCACUCUCCACCACAGUCUCUUCCCUCCUCCAGGCUCCCUCCAGGGCUAGAAACCAAAUCAGGCCAGGCCACACACCUGCUAGUCCCCACUAACAAGGGCACAGCAAUGAAGCCCAGGUGCCUGAUGGGCAUCUGCCAAGCAGCAGUAACUGUGCCCUGCUCACCACCCAGAGCUUGUGGGCAGGUCAGGGACCCUGCCUCAUUCUCCCCUCCUCCCUCCAUGGACAGAGGCCACCUGCUCUGCCACAUGGGUCCAAGAAGACACAGCAGCACUCCCUCCAGGCACCAUGCCCAUGGAUGGAGGACAGACACGCAGAGGCAACAGGUGGCAGGGGUGCCAGGGGGGAGGAAGCUGCCAACCUGAUGGGUCCAGGAGGACCUGGAGAGCUGGAGCGGGCGGGGGACACUAGCAAAGGGACAGGGUGCCCUGAGGGACUUCAAGUAGGUGGGAUAGAGAGAGAAGACUUGGGAAAGAGCCUCCUCCUGGGGCGCUCCCCGGCCCACCAUGUCCCUGCAUGGAGCCGUGGCUGUGGCCGGCCACAGGGCUGUGCAGGGGGGUGCCACACAGACACGGGGGGGCAGACUUGGCCUGCGAGGCCUCCAGCCGAGGAAGAGGCUGGCAGGGAGGAAUCCAGGCUGAGGGAGGCCAGCGUGAGAAGUGGCCCAGGAACAAACAGAAGGUCCAGAGCCACCUCUUCACUCUGAGGGUGGACACAGGGAAGGUGACACAGAGAGAAGAGCCCUCUCUUCUCAACACAGCUUGAAGUCCACAGUUCCUUCUCCCUCUGCCAGCUGUGCUCCACCUGAGACCCACAGGGCAGUUCUCCCUGGACCCUGGGAGAGAGAUGAGCACUCCCCGGAAGAAUGGCCAGAUGGGGACUGCCCAGAGGCAUAAGGGGUAGAGGGCGGCAGGGCAGAUGGGGAACGAGCAGGCGGAUUAGUGGACUGGUGCAUCAUUGGGGGCGCUAAAUGAAUGAGGGUGAGUGGA
rnacentral:lncRNA from 1 species